rnacentral:siRNA from 1 species
GUUGAAGUCCGAGGUGUUUCUACU